GAGAUUUUUUCUGACAUGAGGCACGGGCCGGUUAGGGUUGGGGUUAGGGUUAGCGGUUAGGGUUAGGGGGUUAGGGUUAGGUUUUAGGGUUAAGGUUAAGGUUAGGGUUAGGUUUUAGGGUUAGGUUUAGGGUUAGGUUUUAGGGUUAGGGUUAAGGUUAGGGUUAGGUUUUAGGGUUAAGGUUAAGGUUAGGGUUAGGUUUUAGGGUUAGGGUUAGGUUUUAGGGUUAAGGUUAGGUUUUAGGGUUAGGUUUUAGGGUUAGGGUUAGGUUUUAGGUUUUAGGGUUAAGGUUAGGUUUUUAAGGUUAAGGUUAGGGUUAGGUUUUAGGGUUAGGGUUAGGUUUUAGGUUUUAGGGUUAAGGUUAGGUUUU
ensembl:lncRNA